UACGUAGGGUGCGAGCGUUGUCCGGAAUUAUUGGGCGUAAAGAGCUUGUAGGCGGUUUGUUGCGUCUGCCGUGAAAUUUCGAGGCUCAACCUCGAACUUGCGGUGGGUACGGGCAGACUAGAGUGUGGUAGGGGAGACUGGAAUUCCUGGUGUAGCGGUGAAAUGCGCAGAUAUCAGGAGGAACACCGAUGGCGAAGGCAGGUCUCUGGGCCACUACUGACGCUGAGAAGCGAAAGCAUGGGGAGCGAACAGG
rnacentral:rRNA from 1 species